rnacentral:rRNA from 1 species
ACGUAGGGUGCGAGCGUUGUCCGGAAUUACUGGGCGUAAAGAGCUCGUAGGCGGUUUGUCACGUCGUCUGUGAAAUCCCUCGGCUUAACCGGGGGCGUGCAGGCGAUACGGGCAGACUUGAGUACUACAGGGGAGACUGGAAUUCCUGGUGUAGCGGUGAAAUGCGCAGAUAUCAGGAGGAACACCGGUGGCGAAGGCGACUUGCUGGGCCUGAACUGACGCUCAGACGCGAAAGCAUGGGGAGCGAACGG